CGAGGGUGACAUCUUGCAAAUUCGAACUCUUAUUAUGAAUUUAUUUACCGUUGCAUUCAAUCUUCAAGAGGAUUGUUUGGUGUAGAAGCGGAUGCCAACUGCUACGCCCAAAAUGAUCAGGGGAACUAAGAACUGGAGUAGCUUGAUUAUGAAUUCGGAUGUGUUGUCCUGAUUGUAAUGAGGCUGAUUGGGAGGAGUGUACGCCUUUUUAGUCGGGAUGGUUGCUGAAUCAAUAUCCCCUACGUAGUACUCGUCCAACAUGGCUCGAGCACUGCUGCUGUGACCAACAUCCUCAAAAUCAUCGGUUGCAUCCUUUCCAGUAGCAGCUAAUAAAACCUCAUCGCCACCAGGGUGAUCGUCCAAGAACUUUGUCACAUCGUACACCUUGCCACUAAUAACAAGCCAACAAUCUUUGGCAUUGUUGUGAGGAGCUACUUCUUGCAAAGUAUAAACCUUUGUUUCACUACCCAUUUAUG
rnacentral:misc_RNA from 1 species